UGUCCCUGUCCCAACAUAGCCCCUGUCCCCCACAAAUCCACUUUAACGUCACAGAACAAGGAUGCUUCUAAUCGGCUUUUUAAAAAUGUAAUUUUAUUAAGUUGUGCUAAAAUUUAAAGAACAUUUAUGGAAUAGAAUUGAAAUAUUACUCAAACCAAAAGUUUUCUAAAGUGGAAUGGAGAGCAUAUUUCAGUUCAGACACUCUGUGGAACAUUCUAACCAUAACUGCUCUUUAUUGAGCUUCAGGAAGUACUACAUUUUCCAUAGUGCAACUUACCUUGUUUACUUCAUAUUUACAGUAAGAUGAAAAGAACACAGAAUGGCUAAAAAAAAAAAGCCCUAAAUUAAUGUGAAAAAAUCAAAGAUUUGAAUUUUAAAAUUGUGAUGCACAGAGUAGUGUCAAUUAAAAACUAUUUUUUUCCAUGAUGAAAAUGUGAUUCCCUAUAAGACAACACAUUUUUUUCUUACAGACAGCACUUUGAUAUAAGGAGUUUUUUUUUUUUAAAGUUUUUAGCAAAGAACAUUAAAUAUACUGUUUACAAGACAUACUUUGAAAAACAAGGCAAGGCGAUAACUUUCUUAUUCAAUUUAUUAAAUUUUUUUUUGCAUAUGUUUUACACAAACAUAAAUUCACUAUAUGCUCUAAAACACAGAUA